GACAGAGGGUGCAAACGUUGUUCGGAAUUACUGGGCGUAAAGCGUGUGUAGGCGGCCAUGUAAGUCAGGUGUGAAAGCCCCGGGCUCAACCCGGGAAGUGCACUUGAUACUGCGUGGCUUGAGUAUCGGAGAGGUUGGUGGAAUUCUCGGUGUAGAGGUGAAAUUCGUAGUUAUCGAGAGGAACACCGAUGGCGAAGGCAGCCCCCUGGGCUAACACUGACGCUCAGGCACGAAAGCGUGGGGAGCAAACAGG
rnacentral:rRNA from 1 species